AUGGCGGCGUGCAGAGGAGGAGGGGGCGGCAAGGACGUGGACCGGAUCAAGGGCCCCUGGAGCCCCGAGGAGGACGACGCGCUGCAGCGGCUCGUGGGCCGCCACGGCGCGCGCAACUGGUCCCUCAUCAGCAAGUCCAUCCCGGGCCGCUCCGGCAAGUCCUGCCGUCUCCGCUGGUGCAACCAGCUCUCGCCGCAGGUGGAGCACCGCCCCUUCACCCCCGACGAGGACGACACCAUCCUCCGCGCCCACGCCAGGUUCGGCAACAAGUGGGCCACCAUCGCCAGGCUGCUCUCCGGCCGCACCGACAACGCCAUCAAGAACCACUGGAACUCCACGCUAAAGCGCAAGUACUCUUCUUCCUCCUCGGCAUCGGCAUCGCCUGCUGAAGACGGGGCCGCCAUGGCCGACGACGAGGACCGACGGCCGCUGAAGCGGACCAGCAGCGACGGAUACCCGGGGCUGUGCUUCAGCCCCGGGAGCCCGUCGGGGUCGGACCUCAGCGACUCCAGCCACCAGAGCCUCCCCUCCGUCAUGCCAUCCGCCGCCUCGCAGCAGCCGCACGUGUACCGCCCGGUGGCGCGUGCCGGCGGGGUGGUCGUGCUCCCAACGGCGACGCCUCAGCCGCCGCAGCCGUCGCCUCCGUCUCCGCCGCCGCCCCCUCCUCCUCCGGCGACGUCGCUCUCGCUCUCCCUCUCCCUGCCCGGCCUGGAUGCGCCCGAGCCAGCCCCGGUGGCGCAGCCUAUGUCCAUGCCGCCGCCACCUGCUCCUGUACAGCCCGCCGCAGCGCCUCAGAUGCCGCCGCCGCCGCCCAUGCCGUUCCAGCUCCAGCCGCCGCCGCAGCCCCAGCCACGGACGGCGGCGCCCUUCAACGGGGAGUUCCUGUCGAUGAUGCAGGAGAUGAUCCGGAUCGAGGUCCGGAACUACAUGUCCGGCUUCGACCCCCGGUCGCCCGCCGACGGCGUCCACGCCGCCAAGCGCAUGAUGAGCAUGGCCAAGAUCGAGUAG
rnacentral:rRNA from 1 species